rnacentral:rRNA from 1 species
CGUAGGUGGCAAGCGUUGUCCGGAUUUAUUGGGUUUAAAGGGUGCGUAGGCGGCCCUAUAAGUCAGUGGUGAAAUAUCUCAGCUUAACUGAGAGGGUGCCAUUGAUACUGCGGGGCUCGAGUACAGAUGAGGUAGGCGGAAUUGACGGUGUAGCGGUGAAAUGCAUAGAUAUCGUCAAGAACUCCGAUAGCGAAGGCAGCUUACUAAGCUGUAACUGACGCUGAGGCACGAAAGUGUGGGGAUCAAACAGGAUUAGAUACCCUGGUAGUCCACACUGUAAACGUUGAUGACUCGAUGUUGGCGAUACACAGCCAGCGUCCAAGAGCAAUCGUUAAGUCAUCCACCUGGGGAUACGCCGGCAACGGUG